AGGCGUGAUGACGAGGCACUACGGUGCUGAAGCAACAAAUGCCCUGCUUCCAGGAAAAGCCUCUAAGCAUCAGGUAACAUCAAAUCGUACCCCAAACCGACACAGGUGGUCAGGUAGAGAAUACCAAGGCGCUUGAGAGAACUCGGGUGAAGGAACUAGGCAAAAUGGUGCCGUAACUUCGGGAGAAGGCACGCUGAUAUGUAGGUGAAGCGACUUGCUCGUGGAGCUGAAAUCAGUCGAAGAUACCAGCUGGCUGCAACUGUUUAUUAAAAACACAGCACUGUGCAAACACGAAAGUGGACGUAUACGGUGUGACGCCUGCCCGGUGCCGGAAGGUUAAUUGAUGGGGUCAGCGCAAGCGAAGCUCUUGAUCGAAGCCCCGGUAAACGGCGGCCGUAACUAUAACGGUCCUAAGGUAGCGAAAUUCCUUGUCGGGUAAGUUCCGACCUGCACGAAUGGCGUAAUGAUGGCCAGGCUGUCUCCACCCGAGACUCAGUGAAAUUGAACUCGCUGUGAAGAUGCAGUGUACCCGCGGCAAGACGGAAAGACCCCGUGAACCUUUACUAUAGCUUGACACUGAACAUUGAGCCUUGAUGUGUAGGAUAGGUGGGAGGCUUUGAAGUGUGGACGCCAGUCUGCAUGGAGCCGGCCUUGAAAUACCACCCUUUAAUGUUUGAUGUUCUAACGUUGACCCGUGAUCCGGGUUGCGGACAGUGUCUGGUGGGUAGUUUGACUGGGGCGGUCUCCUCCUAAAGAGUAACGGAGGAGCACGAAGGUUGGCUAAUCCUGGUCGGACAUCAGGAGGUUAGUGCAAUGGCAUAAGCCAGCUUGACUGCGAGCGUGACGGCGCGAGCAGGUGCGAAAGCAGGUCAUAGUGAUCCGGUGGUUCUGAAUGGAAGGGCCAUCGCUCAACGGAUAAAAGGUACUCCGGGGAUAACAGGCUGAUACCGCCCAAGAGUUCAUAUCGACGGCGGUGUUUGGCACCUCGAUGUCGGCUCAUCACAUCCUGGGGCUGAAGUAGGUCCCAAGGGUAUGGCUGUUCGCCAUUUAAAGUGGUACGCGAGCUGGGUUUAGAACGUCGUGAGACAGUUCGGUCCCUAUCUGCCGUGGGCGCUGGAGAACUGAGGGGGGCUGCUCCUAGUACGAGAGGACCGGAGUGGACGCAUCACUGGUGUUCGGGUUGUCAUGCCAAUGGCACUGCCCGGUAGCUAAAUGCGGAAGAGAUAAGUGCUGAAAGCAUCUAAGCACGAAACUUGCCCCGAGAUGAGUUCUCCCUGACUCCUUGAGAGUCCUGAAGGAACGUUGAAGACGACGACGUUGAUAGGCCGGGUGUGUAAGCGCAGCGAUGCGUUGAGCUAACCGGUACUAAUGAACCGUGAGG
rnacentral:rRNA from 1 species